UACGUAGGUGACCAGCGUUGUCCGGAUUUACUGGGCGUAAAGAGCGCGCAGGCGGUCGUUCAAGUCGAGUGUGAAAGCCCCCGGCUCAACUGGGGAGGGUCACUCGAUACUGAUCGACUUGAAGGCAGGAGAGGGAAGCGGAAUUCCCGGUGUAGUGGUGAAAUGCGUAGAUAUCGGGAGGAACAUCAGUGGCGAAGGCGGCCAUCUGGGACAACACUGACGCUGAAGCACGAAAGCGUGGGGAGCAAACAGG
rnacentral:rRNA from 1 species